rnacentral:rRNA from 1 species
GACGAACGCUGGCGGCGUGCUUAACACAUGCAAGUCGAACGGAAAGGCCCUGCUUUUGUGGGGUGCUCGAGUGGCGAACGGGUGAGUAACACGUGAGUAACCUGCCCUUGACUUUGGGAUAACUUCAGGAAACUGGGGCUAAUACCGGAUAGGAGCUCCUGCUGCAUGGUGGGGGUUGGAAAGUUUCGGCGGUUGGGGAUGGACUCGCGGCUUAUCAGCUUGUUGGUGGGGUAGUGGCUUACCAAGGCUUUGACGGGUAGCCGGCCUGAGAGGGUGACCGGCCACAGUGGGACUGAGAUACGGCCCAGACUCCUACUGGAGGCAGCAGUGGGGAAUAUUGCACAAUGGGCGGAAGCCUGAUGCAGCAACGCCGCGUGCGGGAUGACGGCCUUCGGGUUGUAAACCGCUUUCGCCUGUGACGAAGCGUGAGUGACGGUAAUGGGUAAAGAAGCACCGGCUAACUACGUG